AAUUCCGCCUGUUUAUCAAAAACAUGGCUCUUUGUUUAUUAAUUAUAAAGAGUCUAGCCUGCCCAGUGAUUUUUUUAACGGCCGCGGUACUUUGACCGUGCAAAGGUAGCAUAAUCAUUUGCCUUAUAAUUGAAGGCUAGUAUGAAAGGUUUAACGAAAGUUAGGCUGUCUUUUUUUGUAUAAAAUGAAAUUAACUUAUAAGUGCAAAGGCUUAUAUAUGACUAAAAGACAAGAAGACCCUAUUGAGCUUAUAAAAAUAUUAUGGAGUAAGGUAUAUAUGAAAAUUCUAAUCUUUUUAAAUUUUUAGUUGGGGCGACUUAGGAAUCAAAAAAACUUCCUAGUAUUAAAAUUACUUUUAUGUUUUAUCCAAAAUUUUUUGAUUAUCAGAAUUAGUUACCAUAGGGAUAACAGCAUAAUCUUUCUUAGGAGUUCUAAUCGAAAGAAAGGAUUGUGACCUCGAUGUUGGACUAGAAUACCCUAAAGGUGCAGAAGCUUUUGAGGGUUGGUCUGUUCGACCAUUAAUAAUUCUACAUGAUCUGAGUUCAAACCGGAGAAG
rnacentral:rRNA from 1 species